rnacentral:tRNA from 1 species
GCCCUCGUAGCUCAGCAGGUUAGAGCGUCGGUUUUGUAAUCCGAAGGCCGGAAGUUUAAAUCCUCCCGAGCGCA